rnacentral:rRNA from 1 species
CCUACGGGGUGCAGCAGUGGGGAAUAUUGGGCAAUGGGCGCAAGCCUGACCCAGCAACGCCGCGUGAGGGAAGAAGGCCCUCGGGUUGUAAACUUCUUUUAUCAGGGACGAAACAAAUGACGAUACCUGAUGAAUAAGCCUCGGCUAACUACGUGCCAGCAGCCGCGGUAAUACGGAGGAUGCGAGCGUUAUACGGAUUUAUUGGGGUAAAAGGGUGCGUAGGCGGUUUUUUAAGUUAGUGGUUAAACGUCGGGGCUUAACCUUGAUUUGCCAUUAAUACUGUAAGACUCGAGUUCAGACGAGGUAGGCGGAAUAAGUUAAGUAGCGGUGAAAUGCUUAGAUAUAACGUAGAACUCCGAUGGCGAAGGCAGCUUACCAGACUGCGACUGACGCUGAGGCACGAGAGCGUGGGUAGCGAACAGGAUUAGAUACCCGAGUAGUC